CAGUGUACAGUAGCGGUACGCGAGUCUCUUUACCCCUCUGUUUAACUGCGUUACAGGGAGCGGUGCGUGUCCACUCUUCCUCUACGGGUCCCUGGCGGCAGCUUCAUGUCUUCUCAUUGCUUUGUUAAUUAUACUGGUAAUAUGCUAUCGAAGACGGAAUCAAACAGAUGCGUAUUUGGCAAAUGAACGAUCGACGUAUUCCGAGAUUCGCGUUAAAGGAGGGGCGUCAGACAAACACACGUCAGGGAAACGUGAAAACACGGGUUCUAGUGGAAGACACGCCAGACCAAAAAUAAGAUCAGCGGUAGAGGAUGACGUUCAGUACGCCAGUUUGCAGCUCGAGGCGGGUAGGCGACGGAAAUGAAGACCUGGAGUGGACAGAUUAUUAGAAACACCUGUGCCAUGUGGCACACACUUCUGUGUAACUGCACUGUCCCUCGCAGCACUGAAUAAUUUGAUAUGCAAAUAGCAACACCGCCCAUAUAUACUUCAACGCAGC